rnacentral:rRNA from 1 species
UACGGAGGGUGCAAGCGUUAUCCGGAUUCACUGGGUUUAAAGGGUGCGUAGGCGGGCAGGUAAGUCAGUGGUGAAAUCCUAGAGCUUAACUCUAGAACUGCCAUUGAUACUAUCUGUCUUGAAUAUUGUGGAGGUAAGCGGAAUAUGUCAUGUAGCGGUGAAAUGCUUAGAUAUGACAUAGAACACCUAUUGCGAAGGCAGCUUACUACGCAUAUAUUGACGCUGAGGCACGAAGGCGUGGGGAUCAAACAGG